GUGAAAAAUGCAAAUCUCUUACUAUCGUCAAGAAAGUAGUUUUGAUCGUUUGCUCUCUGGAUCCCCUGAGAGGUUCUGGGACCUCGCUUUGAGAAUCCCUGUCUGGGACUCCUUUUGGGAAGAUGCCCCCCGCCCCGCCGACCCCUGAGCCUCACUCGGCCGCGAUGGUGGUGGGGCUGCCCCAGGCCUGGGUGUCGAGGUGGUGGUCCGGGCGCUGCCCACUCCGCGGCGGGCCUUCCCAGCUGCUGUCGGCGCUGAAGGCAACGGGGUGUCCCACCGGUAUCUGCAUCCAUCCCCCCACCUCUCCAGCACGUUCUUCUGGGGCCAGGAGCAUCGUCGUGGCGACCAGCAGCCACCUUGUCAAUGGAGCAGAUGGGCCUGUGACCACGUCCAGGGGCUCCAGCUGUCCCUGCCACCCCCCUGAGCAGCUCCUAGGGGAGGCCACCUCUGUCCCCCAGGCCUGGGCCCCAGAAGCCCACCUGAGCCCGCUGAACCCCAGCCUCGGCCCGGGGAAGGGGCCUGGCACGUCUGGGAGUGGAUGUGCGUCUUCACUCACUCUUUGUUAUUGUUGUUUUUAUUUUUAUUAAAAAUGUUUUUUCUUGAGA